UGGGGAAUAUUGGACAAUGGGCGCAAGCCUGAUCCAGCAAUGCCGCGUGAGUGAUGAAGGCCUUCGGGUUGUAAAGCUCUUUCGCACGCGACGAUGAUGACGGUAGCGUGAGAAGAAGCCCCGGCUAACUUCGUGCCAGCAGCCGCGGUAAUACGAAGGGGGCUAGCGUUGUUCGGAAUUACUGGGCGUAAAGGGCGCGUAGGCGGUGUGUCAAGUCAGGCGUGAAAGCCCCGGGCUCAACCUGGGAACCGCGCUUGAGACUGGCACGCUCGAGUUCGGGAGAGGAUGGUGGAAUUCCCAGUGUAGAGGUGAAAUUCGUAGAUAUUGGGAAGAACACCGAUGGCGAAGGCAGCCAUCUGGACCGACACUGACGCUGAGGCGCGAAAGCGUGGGGAGCAAACAGGAUUAGAUACCCUGGUAGUCCACGCCGUAAACGAUGAGUGCUAGACGUCGGGGCCCUCAGGGCUUCAGUGUCGCAGCUAACG
rnacentral:rRNA from 1 species